UUAAAUUGAAGAGUUUGAUCAUGGCUCAGAUUGAACGCUGGCGGCAGGCCUAACACAUGCAAGUCGAACGGUAACAGGAAGAAGCUUGCUUCUUUGCUGACGAGUGGCGGACGGGUGAGUAAUGUCUGGGAAACUACCUGAUGGAG
rnacentral:rRNA from 1 species